rnacentral:misc_RNA from 1 species
GCACUUGCUGGCGUUGUGGGGACAAAGCAGACGGGAGGGAUUGUCUGGUAUGUGAUUCAUGUGAGGAAAUGUACCAUGUAUCCUGUAUUGAACCUGCUGUCAAAGAGAUUCCCCCAAAAAGUUGGUACUGUGUGAGCUGCAGAGCAGUAGGAGUGGUAUCUCCCCAUGAGAAUUGUGUAAUGUGUGAGAGGCUGAAUGCUCCCAGGACUGAUGGAAAGGGAACAUCAACAAUUGAAAAAAUAGUCUGCGAUUUUGAAGAGACUUCAAAUUGUACGAGGGAUGAUUUUUGUCAACCAC